rnacentral:lncRNA from 1 species
UACCCCUCUCUGCCUGUCCCUCUGAGCUCCAGAGACCAUGACUAAUUCCCCUUGGUCCCAAGGUUUGACUUCUGGUUGCUGAGAGCAGCAGCUCAGGGAAGCCACUAAAGAGACAAAGAAAGGAAGAAAGGACAGUGCUACUGGCCACAGAGCUGGCUCGGUUGUUCUCACGGCCGGCCGGGAGUGUGGACAGAAAAGCCAGCCCAGGUAGGCAGCCAGCUCCUGCUUCCUCUCAGAGAAGGGCUGCCUGUGGAGAUAAUGACCCUCAGCUAAAAGCAGCUUAAUCCCAAAAGUGGCCUGAAGAAACGAAGUUGACUGUCAGAGGGAGUGUCAUCGGGCAAGGUGGAAAUACCUGGCACCUCGGUGAGUCACACUGAGUGCAAGACUAAAGGAAAAAUAUGCCCCCUUAAUAUGUAUGUAAAAUUAUAUAUAUAAUUUUUUCAGUUACUUUCAGAAUUAAGUUUUGAAAAUGUUAGCUAUCAGUGUGCUUCCAUUAAAGCUGGCAAAGGAAAAACUGACACAUAUUCUAAGAAUAAAAUGAUGCCGUGAGUUUUGAUACAGCUAAUUUUUUUUAACUUUCGAUACAUUUUUUUCAACUAAUGUUUUUGGGGGAAAAUUACCUUUAAAAGACUAUGAAAAUAUAGAGAAAGAGGCACCUUCCUCCUUUGGCCACACACCGAAGUCAGGUCCCGCUACGGCGCUGUCAGAUCUUGUCACUGAUGUCCUGCUCAUCGUGGAUAAAUGUUAGCACGAUUCUGGUUUUUAAAAUUAUUGCAUUUAAGUACGAGCUAUCUGGAUUACUGAGUUUGUUGGCAGUGUCCUAGAUUUUAUGCACAAGGACCACUCACCUCUCCCCACUUCUGGCCCUCAGUGAGUUAAACCACUUGGCACUAACCCCAGCAAUGCCACCCGGGGCCUGACACUGCCUCCCACACCAGGGUGGCAAGGUGCAUGCUUAAGGGCAUUGAUUAUGGUAUGGGGAGCCCGUUCCAGAGCCCCUCAGAAGACUGCUUACAUAGUUGGCAUAUGAUGCUUUGACUUUUCAAGCACAGGAAAACACCUCUGAAAUAUGAUGAAAAGACUUGCAAAAUAAUGUCUAUAAUAAAGCAAACAUUUCUAUUUGCACUGUUGGAAAUGGCUCUUGUGCAUUAGCCCUGUUCUCACAACUGUCCUGUAAGGUCAUCAACGAGGAAAUUGGGGGCCAGACAAGCUAACUGUCCCAGGGGUACAGCCGGAGUACAGCAGGGAAGCAGCAAUCCAGCCUCAGAGUUCAAAACGUUUAGUCACUAAAGUUAGAGUGCUUCUCCUGGGAUUUCAGAAUCUGUAUUUAUACAUGUGCAUGUGACAUGGGAGAAUCAGGAGGCAGGUCACAAACUGUUACUGAUGGUUAUCUCAGGUGGAGGUGACCUUACAGGAUGCUUUAGCUUUCAAUACAAUUUGAUUUGAGCAAUAUGACUUCUCAACAGGAAAUAUAGAAACCAGAAAAAGCCAUAUUAAGGUCACAGUGUAACAGAUCCUAUUCUGGGCACUUUCAAAGUGUUACCUCUUUUCGCCCUUGGAAGAGCCCUGUUAGUACACCAUUCUACAGGUGGGAAAACUGACAUUGGCAAAGGCGAAGAGGCUGGACUAAGCUCACAAAACUUGAAAGCGAUGGAGCCUGAUUUCAAAUUCAGAUCUCCAAAAUAGCAGUGUGCUGAACACAGGCUGUGACUUGCUUUUCUUCAGUAUGUUUAAUGCCUGCAUGUUGGUGCCCUGCAAAGAAAUCACACAUUUAUAGUUAAGCCCCUAUUGUUGGGCAUUUACGGUUCUGAGCUACUAAUAUGGAGUCUGCUAGGAGGAGGCUCCUUGCCCCUGGGGCAUACUACUGGUGCUAGUUGAAGGGCUGCAGGCACGGCUUGGUCCAGC